rnacentral:lncRNA from 1 species
CAGCUGCCUGUUUCACCAUGGAGAAAACAGAUAUGUGCAACUCUAGCGUCGUUUCCACCUCCCAUGAUGUUGAGGAGUCUUGCGAUGAUGAAUUCCAACAACUGGUGCAAACCUUCCCUAAAGAUAAAAGCUUCACAGGAAUGAAUCUUUACUUCUUCCAAGGUUUCUGGUGCCCAUCAAUUAUUUUAAAAGCUGUGAUUUCUUGUCAGAAACAUUUCCAAGCAUUUAAUUCUGAUAUUAUCAUCGCCACUUUGCCAAAAUGUGGCACUACUUGGCUUAAAGCUUUGACUUUCUCCACUUUGUACCGCAAUCAGUUCGCAAGGGAAAAUAAUCCCUUGCUCACCUAUAACCCUCACUCUCUUGUUCGCUUCAUUGAUUUUGACUUUUAUUUCAACGACACUUGUCCUGAUCUCGAAAAUUAUACUCUUUAUCAGCCAAGACUUUUUUCUAUCCACUUGCCUUAUGCUUCUUUGCCAACUUCCAUUAAAGAUUCCAACUGUAAGAUUGUUUAUUUAUGUAGAAACCCCAUGGACACGCUCAUUUCUUUUUGGUCUUUCCUUUCCAGGCUUCGAGGCGAAGGCUUUGAGCCAGUAUCACUAGAUGAAGCUUUUGAGAUGUUCUGCCAAGGAAUCAAUGAAUUUGGACCAUUUUUCGAUCAUGUGUCAGGGUAUUGGAGGGCAAGCCAAGAAAAAUCGAGCAAAAUAUUGUUUUUACAAUAUGAAGAUCUUAAGGAAGACAUCACUUCUCACCUAAAAAAGUUGGCAAUGUUUUUGGGGGUUCCUUUCACUGAGGAAGAAGAGAAACAAGGAGUUGUUGAAGAAAUUGCGAAAAUUUGCAGCUUUGAGAACAUGAAAGACUUGGAAGUGAAUAAGAAAGGUGAGCAAACUUUUGGGUAUCCACAAGAAACUUUCUCAGGGAAAACAAAGACUAUUGAGAUUCCACGUGAAGCUUUCUUCAGAAAAGCAAAAACGGGAGAUUGGAGCAAUUAUCUCACACCCUCCAUGGCUGAACGUCUAGAGAAACUUAUUCAAGAGAAAUUGGAAAACUCAAGUUUAACAUUUAAAUUGUUCUCUAAAACUUCAAAAGAUAUUACUUCUACAUGAUCAGGGAUGUAUGUCUAUUGGCGUUAAUUUAUGAUGAAUAAAUUCCAUAUUUGCAUGUAGAGAGUCUUUCCCUCGCAAAAUAAGGUUAUAUAAUAAUAUUGAGGUUAAGAUAUGCUUUUAGUCCCUAUAUUUAUCCAGAACUUGAGAUUAAGUUACUGUAUUUUAAAAGUAAAAAUUUUAAGCCUCUUACUUUUUCAAUUUAAAGAUUUUAAUCUAAUCAUUAUCAUUAUCAUUAUCAUUGUUUGUAAUUUCCGUCAAGACUUGUCAACUUAACAUGUUUAUAUUUUUGUCAGUCAUGUGCAAUGUCAUAAGAGGGCAAUCUAAUUAGCAUGACGAGUAGGCAAAUUUUGAUGAAAAAUACUAAUAAUGUUAAUGAUAGGAUUGAAAUUUUUAAAUAAAAAAUUAAAAGAAUUUCACCUUCAACUAUUUAAAUAAUUUUAAUCUUAUAUUUGUUUAAGUUUACGUUUUGAUCAUCGAUCUUUCAAGUGUUACAUAAAUGUCAUGGACAUUAUCGUUUGAUAACAAUUUAGUCACUAUAUCGUUACCCAUUGUUAUUUUAGCAAAGAUGCUAUAAUAAUACAUAAUCCAUAGCGAUUUGCAAGUUCAAAGGAUAUAAUCUUGCAUAUAUAUAUAUAUAUAUAUAUAUUAGUUUGUAUUUUGUGUGAUGCUUGAAUUGGUUGUGUAUAUUAAUUAUCCAGUUUUGUAACUUCCUUUUUCAAAAAUCUAUAAAGAGAAGUCCUCCACAACUAGUGGAGAGACCUUUGGAUAUUUUGGAAAUUUGACUCUCGAGCUCUAUCUAAAAUUCUCUCAACUUAUUAUUAUUUUUGUUUAGCUUUAUCAUCAAUCAGAUUUAGCUUUCUAUACCCUAUCAACCACCACCACUUGCUGUUGCGUUCAGUAUUACUAGAUUUACUCUAGUCUUUCUCUUCACCUUCUUUCAAUACAUCUCAUUUACUUGUCUGCAAUGUUUUCUCUAUCCAUUAAAAAAAUUCUCUACACACUAUUAAUGAUUUAAUAGAAUAAUAAUCAAAAUAUUGAAUGCGGAUAGCAUUAGAGACAAAAAUAAAUUUUUUUAGACUUGAAUGAUAAAUAAAACACUUUAAUUAAUAAUUAAGCGAAUACUGGUCUAUAUCUAAAAGUUAAAAAAAAUAAAAACAAAUUAUAUUAAUCAAAUAAUAUCUUAAAAAGGAAUUUAAUAAUGCAACCUUUUGGCUAAAGAUAAAGAUAAUUUCAGCAUUAAUGUUUAAUAAUGCAACCUUCUGGCAAAAGAUGAAGAUAAUUUCAGCAUUAAAGUUUAAUAAUGCAACCAUUCGGCUAAAGACGAAGAUAAUUUCAGUGGUGCAAGAUCUUCCGUAUCCCACAGCAUUAAAUUUUGAUUGCAUCUCCCAUUUGAUAAUAUAAAAUAAAGGGGAUGAUGACCCAAUUUUUAAACGUUUUUAUUUUAGGUAAUAAAAAAAGGUUUUUCAUUAUUUUAACUACUUCCAUUAAAAUUUUAAAUCAAAAUAUAUAUGAAAUUAUUUUUAAAAUUUUGAUUUUUCACACAAUUUUAAAAAAAUAAAAAUUUACCAUUUUAAUCUUCGAUCUUUUAAUAUAAGUGAGGUUUCUCAACAAAUUGGGAACAAUAACCACAUCAUCUAUCAAAUAUGGCCUCCUCUUUCAUCUGCUUCGUUGAUUAGAGCAAUGCGUCACCAUCAACGCUGACUUUUUGUAGUAGAGGUGACAAAAAAUCGAAAUAAAAAAUUAAAAGAUAGUAUAGAAACAUCAAAUUCAAAAAGAAAAAGAUUAAAAAUAUUAAAGACAAUGUCAAAGUUUCCAAGUCUACUAUUCCCCUCUUCACUUCAAGAUGAUUUACAAAUAAUUUUCUUUUAAAGUCAAUGCUUUUUCUCUUUUUUGUAAUAACUGUAAUAGUAAAGCUAGAAUUUUAUACAAAUUUUUGGAUUUUUUUAUAUCUGUGAAGAUUUAAGUUUUAGGCAUGGGUUAUUUUUUUGGAUACUGUUGUUAAGUGCUUUGAAUGGUUGCCAAUUCCCCCAUGCCUCUAAUAUUUGCAUAAGAACAAUGAAAACCCUAACUAUUAUAUGCCACAAUUAUUACUAGUUAAGGAAGCAAAGCAUGCUAUUUAUGCCCUAAAGACAUUAGAAUUUACUGUGAAUUUUUUACAGAGGAUAUGGUUGUUGUUCUCAAUUUGUUAAGGUGAGGUAAACCUCAUUUAUAUAAAAAGAUUGGGACUAAAAUGAUGAUUUUUAUUUCAUUUAAAUAUGUGAAAAAUCAAAAUUUUAGAAAUAAUUUCACGUUAGAUCUCUAUUUAUCAUUUUAACAAGAGUAAUUAAACUGAUCCAACCAGUGUAACUAUUUUUUCGGAUGCUUAUCUUUAAAACUUUUGAAAAUGAGGCGUUUACCCUAAAAUAAAUUAUUAAAGCAUAAAAUAUUUGAUAUGGUCUUUUUUGGUCCGCCCCACAAAACUUGCUAUAUAAAUAGAAAACUAGUUUUGAAUGUUGUUUUCCUUAUCCCUUUCUCGACCAACUACUUGUUUCACCAUGGAUAAAAUAGAUAUGAGCAACCCCAGCAUGGUUUCCACCUCCCAUGAUGUUGAGGAGUCUUGGGAUGAUGAAUUCCAACAACUGGUGCAAACCUUCCCUAAAGAUAAAAGCUUCACAGGAAUGAAUCUUUACUUCUUCCAAGGUUUCUGGUGUCCAUCAAUUGUUCUAAAAGCUGUGAUUUCUUGUCAGAAACAUUUCCAAGCAUUUGAUUCUGAUAUUAUCAUCGCAACUUUGCCAAAAUGUGGCACUACUUGGCUUAAAGCUUUGACUUUCUCCACUUUGUACCGCAAUCAGUUCGCAAGGGAAAAUAAUCCCUUGCUCACCUAUAACCCUCACUCUCUUGUUCGCUUCAUUGAUUAUGACUUCUAUUUCAACGACACUUGUCCUGAUCUCGAAAAUUGUACUCUUUAUCAGCCAAGACUUUUUUCUAUCCACUUGCCUUAUGCUUCUUUGCCAACUUCCAUUAAAAAUUCCAACUGUAAGAUUGUUUACUUAUGUAGAAACCCCAUGGACACGCUCAUUUCUUUUUGGUCUUUCUUUUCCAGGCUUCGAGGCGAAGGCUUUGAGCCAGUAUCACUAGAUGGAGCUUUUGAGAUGUUCUGCCAAGGAAUCAAUGAAUUUGGACCAUUUUUCGAUCAUGUGUCAGGGUAUUGGAGGGCAAGCCAAGAAAAAUCGAGCAAAAUAUUGUUUUUACAAUAUGAAGAUCUUAAGGAAGACAUCACUUCUCACCUAAAAAAAUUGGCAAUGUUUUUGGGGGUUCCUUUCACUGAGGAAGAAGAGAAACAAGGAGUUGUUGAAGAAAUAGCGAAAAUUUGCAGCUUUGAGAACAUGAAAGACUUGGAAGUGAAUAAGAAGGGCGUGCAAACUUUUGGGUAUCCACAAGAAACUUUCUUAGGGAAAAUAAAGACUUAUGAGAUUCCACGUGAAGCUUUCUUUAGAAAAGCAAAAGUGGGAGAUUGGAGCAAUUAUCUCACACCCUCCAUGGUUGUACGUCUAGAGAAACUUAUUCAAGAGAAAUUGGAAAACUCAGGUUUAACAUUUAAAUUGUUCUCCAAAACUUCAAACGAUAUUACUUCUACAGAAUGAGGGAUGUAUGUCUAUUGGCUUUAAUUUAUGAUGAAUAAAUUCCAUAUUUGCAUGUAGAGAGUCUUUCCCUCGCAAAAUACGGUUAUAUAAAAAAAUUGUGGUUAAAAUAUGCUUUUAGUCCCUAUAUUAUCUAGAAUUUGAGAUUUAGUUACUGUAUUUUAAAAGUGAAAAUUUUAAGCCUCUUGCUUUGUUAAUUUAAAAAUUUUAGUCUAAUCAUUAUCUCUUUUUGUAAUUUCUAUGAAAACUUGUCAACUUAACAUGUUUAUUUUUUUGUCAAUCAUGUGCAAUGUCAUAAGAGGGUAGUCUAAUUAGCAUGCGAAGUUUGCAAAUUUUGAUGAAAAAUACUAAUAAUAUUAAUGAUUGGAUUAAAAUUUUUAAAUUAAAAAAAUUAAAAGAAUUUAGUUUUCAACUAUUUAAAUAUAAUGACUAAAUUUCAGAUCUUGUCUAAAUACAGGGACCUAAUAUUAUUCCAAGGACAUGUAAUAUAGUUAUCUUAUUGUAAGGUUAUGAUUUAUGAAUAUCUAUAUAUCUAGAUGUAAUAAAACCAACUCGCUUGAGAGCCGAGUAGGAAUAAAUAGGGGUAUUGUGAUAAGUCGUUGAGAGUAAAUAAGUAUAUUGUAGUGAUUUUAAAUUAUUUUUCACAUAAUUUUAGUUAAUUGAUUAUCUGUUUAAAAAUGUUAAAAACUUCAUCAAUUAAGUAAUAUUUUUAUAAUUGAAAAAUAUUCAUUCUAUAAAUUCCCCCUUCGCCAAUUGGUACUCACUCUUCUCUUUUAGGUAGAAUUUCUCUUCUUCCGUUACCAUUUUUUUACUUGGCUGAACUAUCAAAAAAUUUUGCUUAUUUAUUUUCAUCAAUUUAUGGGUAAUAAAACCGCCUCCUUUCAGAAUCAUUAGGAAUAAAUAGGAUUAUUGUAAUCAUUUAUUGGGAGUAAUAAACGUAUUGUGUCAUAUUAAAUUAAUUUUAUUUAUUUAAAAAAUUCAAAAAUCAAUUUCAACUCAAAACAUUUUAUUUAUUCUCAUUAAACAUCAAAUAAAAUUUCAAUUUUUUAUUAUUUUAACAUAAUCAAUAUUAACUAACCAAAUUUCGUAAUGGUUUUGAUAUUCUAUCUCAACAUUAAACUUUUUUCAUUGUUACUAAUUUUCAUGUGUAUAAAUAACACAUUUACUUCUUAUACAUAUUUCUAUUAUCGUUUUUAUUUGGGAUAUUUAUAAAUGUUUCAAAAAAAAUCAUAUUUAUCAGUUUUUUAUUUGCAUAAAAAUUACUAAAUAUAUUUGUAUAAUAUUUGUCAAAAAAUUGAUUAAAUGUGCAUAAUCAAUAGUUUUAGAAAAAGUUGAAGUAAUUAUAGUUUUUAUAAAUUUAUUAGUACAUGUUUAAUUUGAUUAAAUUUAUUUUGAAUUUUACUAUAUAUUAUAAUUAACUUAAAAAUUUUAAAAAUACUAAAUAAUAAGUUAAUAUAAUAUAUGUUGAUAAUAAAUAUUAGAAUAAUAACCUACAAAUAUCACACCUAAUUAGGAUUUAUAUCUUUUAAAUUUGGAUUUCCAUUCCUUUUAGCGUAAGAGAAAUUAAAAUUUUACAAGUUAGAAGGUAAAUAUAAUUUAAAGCAUUUUUAAUUAUAAUCUCAAUUAAAAAUAUUUUGAAUUUAAAUUAUUAUAAAAUAUUUGGUUUGAAGUAUCUAAAGAGACAAAAAGACAAUCUUAUAGUUUGUAAGAUGCAAAUAGUUUGAUUAUCAUCAUAAUUAUUGAUUCUAAAUAUGUGCAUUGUAUAGGGAUAGAUUAAUUAUAAUCGUGAAAUGUAUUUGUACUUUAAAAACAAAAUAACUUCAUAAGAAUAUCAUGAUAUAUACUAAAUUUCUUAGAAUGCUCAAAUGAUUAUUUUAUUUUAAACAUAAUUAAAUCAAUUAUUUUUUAUUUUAAUUCAUGAUAUGCGCAAUGCGCGGAAUAGUCCUAUACCAAAUUUGGUUCAGUGUAAUGGAAUAGAGCUAUAAUAGAACAAAACUGUAAUACCAAUUUAAUUGUUUAGUUGAAUGGAAUGGAAUAGAACUGUAAUAGUAUUCUUGUGUUUGGUUGAAUGGAAUGCAUUUUUUAUAUCUGUGAGUAUUUAAGUUUUAGGCAUGGGUUAUUUUUUCUGGAAACUGUCGUUAAGUGCUUUGAGUGGUUGCCAAUUCCUCCAUGCCUCUAACAUAAGAACAAUGAAAACCCUAACUAUUAUAUGCCACAAUUAUUACUAGUUAAGGAAGCAAAGCAUGUUAAUUAUGCCCUAAAGACAAUAUUGGAAUUUACUGUGAAUUUUUCACAAAGGAUAUGGUUGUUGUUCUCAAUUUGUUAAGGUGAGAGGUAAACCUCAUUUAUAUAAAAAGAUUGGGACUAAAAUGAACAUUUUUAUUUUAUUUAAAUACGUGAAAAAUCAAAAUUUUAGAAAUAAUUUCACAUUAGAUCAUUGUUUACCAUUUUAUUAGGAGUGACUAAUCCAACACGUGUACCUACUUUUUCGAAUAUCUAUAAUAAUUUUUUUUGAAAAUUUGGCGUUUACCCUAAAAUAAAUUAUUAAAAAAUAAAAUAUUUGACAUGGUCUCUUUUUGGUCUGCUCCACAAAACUUGCUAUAUAAACAGAAAACUAGUUUUGAAUGUUGUUUUUCUUAUCCCUUUCUCGACCAACUGCUUGUUUCACCACGGAGAAAACAAAUAUGUGCAACUCCAGAUUGGUUUCCACAUCCCAUGAUGUUGAGGAGUCUUGGGAUGAUGAAUUCCAACAACUGGUGCAAACCUUCCCUAAAGAUAAAAGCUUCACAAGAAUGAAUCUUUACUUCUUCCAAGGUUUCUGGUGCCCAUCAAUUGUUUUAAAAGCUGUGAUUUCUUGUCAGAAACAUUUCCAAGCAUUUGAUUCUGAUAUUAUUAGCGCCACUUUGCCAAAAUGUGGCACUACUUGGCUUAAGCUUAAAGCUUUGACUUUCUCCACUUUGUACCGCAAUCAGUUCGCAAGGGAAAAUAAUCCCUUGCUCACCUAUAACCCUCACUCUCUUGUUAUCUUCAUUGAUUAUGACUUCUAUUUCAACGACACUUGUCCUGAUCUC